GGCUAGGUAGCUCAGUCGGUAGAGCAGGGGACUGAAAAUCCCUGUGUCCCUGGUUCGAUUCCAGGUCUGGCCACCA
rnacentral:tRNA from 1 species